rnacentral:tRNA from 1 species
GCCUGCGUGGUGUAACUGGAAGCACACUUGACUCGUAUUCGGGAGGUCCGGAGUUCGAAUCCUGGUGAGGGCA